AACGUAGGGGGCGAGCGUUAUCCGGAAUCACUGGGCGUAAAGGGCGUCUAGGCGGUCCAGUAAGUCCUGCGUGAAAGCUCCCGGCUCAACUGGGAGAGCGCGUGGGAGACUGUUGGGCUAGAGACUCGGAGAGGGGUGUGGAAUUCCCGGUGGAGUGGUGGAAUGCGUUGAGAUCGGGAGGAACACCAGUGGCGAAGGCGGCACCCUGGCCGAGUUCUGACGCUGAAGCGCGACAGCGUGGGGAGCAAACGGG
rnacentral:rRNA from 1 species